CCAGCUUUCCCCACAACUAUCAAUACACUGGUGCUCCGUCAGUGGGUCCAUGUACGGCGCGGCCGUAGUGGCAGCGAUGGAAGUCCUGCAUCUCCUCCACGUGGUGACACGGACUUCUCCUCCCUGCGGGUGACCUGGUGGCGAGUGCCUGACCUGCCAACAGCAGAAACAUGUGGAGCCCUGGACGUGACAUCACUCCUGAAGGCCACCUGCAGGUUACAGAAGUUCAAGUGGGAUUGUGACUGAGCUAGAAGAGUUCAUGAAAAUCUGAGAUAGGGAGAGGACAGCUCACUGUACACAAGGCUGCUCUGAACGUUCCUGUGUAUGUUCCUGAACACACGCGAGGGAGGUUUUUCUGGAAGCACUGGCGCUGGCCCCAGCUCUCUGAGGUAUUUCCAGAUUGCUUUCCAAGGAGGUUUCCCGAUGGGCCCACCGCAUCUUCAAUAACGUUUGGGACAUUUUGAUGGAUACGCAGGCAGGGGUGGACAGAUGUCGCACCCAGAAAAGCUAACCUCGCCGGGGGUAACCGUGCCCUCUUGGCUCCUGAAGUGUGAAGGAUACAGUCUCUUCGUCCUGGAAGACAGUGGAAGCCGUGGCGCUUUGUGGCAAGCUGAGAAACAUGACAGCCGAGGACAUGGAAUUAAUGGAAGUCAUAAAGUUUUACCUCCACGACAUGUGCUCUUGAGAUCAUGAAGCUGUAGUCAACGACAAGCAGCGACUGACUGCAAGCACGGGAUGCAGAACCCCUGUCUAACCACAAGGAGAACAUCCAACAAACCCAACUAGAAGAACAUUCCUUAGAAUACUGGACCUGUGCUCCUCAAAACUGCCAAGAUCAUCAAAAACAAGGAGAGUCCGAUGAGUCAAGAGGAAUCUAAGGAGACAGGAUUAAGUGUGAUGCGGCGUCCUGGAUGAGAUCCUGGAGCAGAAGGAGAGUGGGCGUUAGGUAAAAACUGAAGACAUCUGAAUAAAAUCUGGACUUCAGUUAGUGAUGUAACGAUACUGGUUCAUUCACUGUGACAAAUGUUAAUAAUUCUGUACACCGGGUAUGGGCACGUGGGGCUGUGGACUAUCUUUGCACCUUUUCUGGAAAUUCAAAAUUGUUCUAAAAUGAAAAGCUUAUUUAAAAACUAAAAAGCAAGAAUACUGCUGAUCAGUUCUCUUUCCCAAACCUGGAAAUUCAUCUGCAUCCUCCUUUCCUUGGUUCCCAGGCCUCUGAGAGCUCUGGCUGGCUCUGGACACUCCUUUCCUUCCAGAAUUUCCCCUGCAGCCUUGGACUCCGCAGUAGCUCCUGUUUGACUGUAAAUGACUUUUGUUGGGUGAA